rnacentral:ncRNA from 1 species
GGACGAGGACGACCUCACCAUCAUGGAUGAUCAUUCGGGACGACCCGG